AAAAAAAAAUGCACUUGCUGAAUUAAACAUACAAUAGGGGCAGCUGGUCUGACUCAACUGUGUUGAUGAUCAGGUACUUGGCUAGGAUCAAGACUGGAUACUUUCGGCUUGGAUGAAAAACAGAAGAAGCUGUGACUACUCAGAGCCAGGGGGACAGCCAGACCAAAAAUUGUUGGGGAAAAAAGGAAGCUCAAAGGCCAAAAGAUAGAAGCCAAGUGUCAAAUCCAAGAACAAAAGGCAAGAAU
rnacentral:lncRNA from 1 species